GGGUAGGCUAAAGGUCAUGGCAAGGCUCGGCAUUGCUCCUGGUAUCAACACCAUCAGAGGUCUUCAGCUUCUGGACAGCGUGCGAGUAAGGAAGGCUCAGUAUGCAGCUGAAUUUAAUACAAAAAAAGCAAGGGCAGCAAGGAGAAGAAAGCUUCUAGGUGAAGAAGAAGAACUAGAAGAUGACCCUGAUUACUCUGCUGGACACUUUUGAUAAUAGAAUAAAAGGUUGCAGUGCUCUAGGCUUAUAUCGGUGUGCAUUGAAAACACCACAAGGCCAUUAAAUGCAGUUUCAAGAACCACUGCUGAAGCCUUGAAAUAGAGACUCUGGCUGGUUCCAGAAUCUCCAGCAGAUCAAGUCUAUUGCUCUUGCUACUCUACUGGAGCCAAGAAAGGAGACAAAUGAACAGGUCAUAGUGGAAGCACCCUGGGUCUACAAGCUGUACAGGACAGACAUAUUGAUUUGCUGCCAUUAUGGCACACAGCAC